rnacentral:rRNA from 1 species
GAUGAACGCUGGCGGCGUGCUUAACACAUGCAAGUCGAACGGAGAAGCAGUGCUUUUGCUGUGGAGCCGUGGGGCACGGGAGAGUGACACACGUGCAUACCGCCCCUGUCUCUGUGUUAUAUCAUUGAGACAGCGUCGAUUACACGCUAUAUGAUGUCUCCGUACGUUCUGCUGUUUGGAAAAUUUCUGGGUCUGGGAUGGGCCCACCGCCUAUCAGCUUGUUGGUUAUGUUAUGGCUUACCAAGGCGUUGACGGGUAGCCGGCCUGAGAGGGUGACCGGCCACAAUGGGCCUGAGACACGGACCAGACUCCUACGGGAGGCAGCAGUGGGGAAUAUUGCACAAUGGGCGAAAGCCUGAUGCAGCAACGCCGCGUGCGGGAUAACGGCCUUCGGGUUGUAAACCUCUUUUAGCAGGGAAGAAGCGAGAGUGACGGUACCUGCUGAAAAAGCGCCGGCUAACUACGUG